AAGGAUCAUUACAAGUAAUAAGUACACUGUACUCAUUAUAAACCCAUCUGUGUAUCUUACCCGUUGCUUCCGUGGAGUGUGGUCGACUGCCUGGCCUCUGGCCCCUUCGGCCCCCCCACGGGAGGUAUUCAUCAAACCCUUGCAUUGCCAUGACCUCAGUCUGAAAUGUAAACAACAAAAGUUAAAACUUUCAACAACGGAUCUCUUGGUUCUC
rnacentral:misc_RNA from 1 species